AACAAGGUCUCCGUUGGUGAACCAGCGGAGGGAUCAUUACUGAGUUUACGCUCUACAACCCUUUGUGAACAUACCUAUAACUGUUGCUUCGGCGGGUAGGGUCUCCGCGACCCUCCCGGCCUCCCGCCUCCGGGCGGGUCGGCGCCCGCCGGAGGAUAACCAAACUCUGAUUUAACGACGUUUCUUCUGAGUGGUACAAGCAAAUAAUCAAAACUUUUAACAACGGAUCUCUUGGUUCUGGCAUCGAUGAAGAACGCAGCGAAAUGCGAUAAGUAAUGUGAAUUGCAGAAUUCAGUGAAUCAUCGAAUCUUUGAACGCACAUUGCGCCCGCCAGCAUUCUGGCGGGCAUGCCUGUUCGAGCGUCAUUUCAACCCUCAAGCUCUGCUUGGUGUUGGGGCCCUACAGCUGAUGUAGGCCCUCAAAGGUAGUGGCGGACCCUCUCGGAGCCUCCUUUGCGUAGUAACUUUACGUCUCGCACUGGGAUCCGGAGGGACUCUUGCCGUAAAACCCCCAAUUUUCCAAAGGUUGACCUCGGAUCAGGUAGGAAUACCCG
rnacentral:rRNA from 1 species